rnacentral:lncRNA from 1 species
UUUUGGAAUUACUUACAGUUUCAUGAAAAUACAUAUUUUAAACAAUACACAAUAAUAUAACUUUACAAUUGUUAUUGUCACUGAUGUUAAUAAAUGUUCUAACAUAGUUCUGCUUACUGUAUCCUUUUUGUUGAUUUUCUAAAUGUCACAAAUGAAAUAUUUUGUAUAUAUUAUGGAAUCCAAAAGUUUGAAAGUUACGAAAAUUAUGUCCAACUGCAAAUAGUUAAUGUUCGAAUUGUCCUUCUAGCAUGUUAUUUGGUCUGGAUGUGAUGAUAAACUUUGACUUUUAUAGAUGUCUGUAUAGAUGUCAGCUUUAAGGGUCGUCCACCAAUUAUUGUAAUGAGAAAUAGUUGAAUAUUCUGUUGUGGGGAAAACUAGCUUAUGUCUCUAAUGAAAUGAGACAUUGCGGCUCUGCUACCGUUGUUGAAAGCAGGCCAGCUGUUCUGAUGUUGUAGAGACAGACCGGGAUCAACUGACACCUAUAAG